rnacentral:lncRNA from 1 species
AUGGGCCCUUCAUCAACUUCGAGUUCGGUGGCUUCGGCCAUUUCCACUCGAUCCCGCCUGGCUUCGCCGCCAUCUUCUUCCGCCAUGAAGAUUGCCUUCAAGAGGGCUCAGGAGGAAUCCAGACGGGCUCAAUCUGACUCGGCAACUGUGUGCCCGAUUCCCCCGACGCCGGGAAAAUCGCUGAGGGUCGCGUCGAAACAACCCCCAGCAAAGAAACGAAUGAUCCAGAGGUCGUCCUCCUCAGCGUCUUCGAAGAAGGACGUCCCCUCCUCUGGGCCUUCCUCUAGGAGAUCCUCUCCUAUACAACCAGCACAACGCCUCCGCUCCUCUUCCUCUCCUCAUGGUCAGUCCUCGGAUGUGGACGCUCAAGCCUCCCCCGACCGGUCGGUCAGGACAGUUAUUAAGGCUCCCCAGCCGGCACCAUCUCGUCUUCCGGCUCGACAAGAGCUCUUUCCCCCGGCUCAAACACCUGAGAGGGGUAGACAGACGAUGCGCUUAGCCCGCGCCGCCCAGGCCUCCGCGUCCAAGGGCGUUCCUCCACAGCCGGCUCUCCCUGCUCCUGAGGUUAUACCCCAUCAGGACUCUGUGCUUGUUUCUCCUCCCCGGUCCCCUCAAGGGCCCGAGGAGGAUGACCCCGAUAUCGAACGCCCCGAGUCGAUACUCUCCGCCUCCGUUGUUUCUCUCGGUCUCGACCUCUCCCCGCCUCACGACGCCUACGAGGUCGACCCACCUUCCCCGACGGAUAAUAUUCGGGCUUUCUCCGACCAGAUGGUCAGAAUGGCAGACGCUCUGGGGAUGGAAAUUAAACAAACUUCAAAGGCUGUUACCGACCCCGUUUUCAAGAGGGUUCAGGCCCAAGCCCCGCCAGCCACCUUGCUGCCUUUUCUUCCAUACCUCCUGGACGUCAUCCAGGCAUCUUGGAAGACUCCAUCUUCGAUACCUCCAACCUCUAAGAAAAUAGAGGCCUGGUACCGAACCGACGACGAAGCCUUGGAAUGGCUCAAGCAUCACCCUGACCCAAACUCCAUGGUGGUAAAGGCCUCCCAAUUGUCGGGUCGACACUCUGGGAGAAAGCCCAACCUUUCUUCGCCAAGCUUUCUGACGAAGACCGGUCAGUCCUUUCGACCCUCCAACAGGAGGCGGACUCUCUCGCACACCACCAAAUUCAAAUGGCUAAGCAUACUGGUGAUACCGCCGGAAAAAUGA